rnacentral:rRNA from 1 species
UGGGGAAUAUUGGACAAUGGGGGGAACCCUGAUCCAGCCAUGCCGCGUGUGUGAAGAAGGCCUUAUGGUUGUAAAGCACUUUAAGCGAGGAGGAGGGUACUGGUAUUAAUACUACCAGGUACUGGACGUUACUCGCAGAAUAAGCACCGGCUAACUCUGUGCCAGCAGCCGCGGUAAUACAGAGGGUGCGAGCGUUAAUCGGAUUUACUGGGCGUAAAGCGUGCGUAGGCGGCUAAUUGAGUCGGAUGUGAAAUCCCCGAGCUUAACUUGGGAAUUGCUUUCGAUACUGGUUAGCUAGAGUGUGGGAGAGGAUGGUAGAAUUCCAGGUGUAGCGGUGAAAUGCGUAGAGAUCUGGAGGAAUACCGAUGGCGAAGGCAGCCAUCUGGCCUAACACUGACGCUGAGGUACGAAAGCAUGGGGAGCAAACAGG